rnacentral:lncRNA from 1 species
AACAGGAUUAAACUUGUAAUGUUUGCUAACGAAGAUUAUAUAAUCAAUAAUGCAAUAUUAUACUAAAUUAAUAGAUUUGCCGCGACAGAAGAAAUGAUAAUUAAUUAUCAUGUAGAGUCAUAUAAUAAAUUGAAUAUAUUUGCUUGCUUUAUAGCAGAGGUGAGAAAAAGUUAAGGAAAUCUAUAGUUAGAGGAAGGCAAAUCUUUUUACUCAGCAACAAUGGAGAUGAAAAGGAGAAGUUCAUUUGUUAAUUCUUAUAAUAUUUUCCUUCUAAAAAUCACUUCGUCCUAGUAUUUUCCUUAUUUUUUAUGAGGUCUCAGAGGUAUUAUGACUUGGACUCAUAAAGGACCCGAAACAUUGGGAAUUGGAGUCCGAAAAAGUAUGUGGUAUACCCGUCUUGAGAUCUGUGUGCCAUGGUAUGGACGGUGUAUUGCGUGCAUGGAAAGAGGUCGAUUCGUGGGUGAAUGUAUAAAACAUAAAAAAGCAGCGAAGAUGUCAAGCGACAAAAUCUCCUCAUGGAGAAAUUACCAGUUGAAAUAAUGUAGGAGGUUAAAAUGUUAGUAACAAAGUUACCUAGAACCGAUAAUUACUAUUAAUAAACAUGGGACUGGAGUCCUACCUAAUUCGUCUCUCUCCCGGUUGUCGUUAUUUCAUUAAAGUAAUUUAAUUCAUUACAUCUGGGCUUCGUUAUUACUAUAAUAAGGUUUCUGAGAAAAAUAUGGGUAAGGAGGCCUGACCCCUUUCUCGCGAGAAGAACUCUCUUCGCCUCACAUCCGGAGGAUUCAUAUCUAAAGUCUAUCCAUAUUUGUCUGAGAAGGAUUGUGAAGCCCUAAUGGAAGACAAGUUGCCUCAAGCAACCAUUCGUUACUAAGAGUAAGAGAACGCCUCUUCUGAUUGCAGAGUGGCUUCAAUGAGGUUAAAUGCUCUUUUCAAGAAGAUUGAUGAACAUCUCACCUACAUUGAUUCCAAUUCUUCGCCAAACUCGGCUGAGUCAUAUUCGAAGCUAACAAUAAAGAUACUGGAACAACGUCAGUGAAGACCCAUCUGCGUUGGUCUUCAUCGAUGUAUCUGACAGGUUGAAGAAAUUAGGUGUUCGUGGAAUUGACAUGGUGGAACAACACCAUUUAGAUGUGAGCUAUCUCACUCUAGGACAAAUUCCUCAAACACUAUUAAGUUUGAGAGAGAAAGAGGAAGCCUGCUCUGCAGGGUUAUUGGACUAAUCCUUUGAUCAUAAAUGUCCUACAAUGAAAAAACAUUCCAAGAAUGAGUCAAAUCGCAACAAGCAAUUAAUAUUCAAUUAAAAUCAUUUAUUGCUUUCCAGGAGAAAGAAAAAAUCAUCCCGGGGACCU